rnacentral:rRNA from 1 species
AUUGAACGCUGGCGGCAGGCCUAACACAUGCAAGUCGAGCGGAGCGGCGGCCGGGCGAGCAAUGCCUAGGAAUCUGCCUGGUAGUGUGGGAUAACGUCCGGAAACGGGCGCUAACACCGCAUACUAUCAGAUGAGCCUAGUUCGGAUUAGCUAGUUGGUGGGGUAAAGGCCUACCAAGGCGACGAUCCGUAACUGGUCUGAGAGGAUGAUCCGUAGCACUGGAACUGAGACGCGGUCCCGGCUCCGACGAGAGACAGCGUUAGGGAAUAUUGGGCAAUGGGCUAAAGCCUGAUCCAGCGAUGCCGCGUGUGUGAAGAAGGGCUUCGGAUUGUAAAGCACUUUAAAUUGGGGGGCGUUACCAACAGAAUAAGCACCGGCUGACUUCGAGCCAGCAGCCGCGGUAAUAC